UACGAAGGGGGCUAGCGUUGCUCGGAAUUACUGGGCGUAAAGCGCACGUAGGCGGAUUGUUAAGUCAGGGGUGAAAUCCUGGAGCUCAACUCCAGAACUGCCUUUGAUACUGAAGAUCUUGAGUUCGGGAGAGGUGAGUGGAACUGCGAGUGUAGAGGUGAAAUUCGUAGAUAUUCGCAAGAACACCAGUGGCGAAGGCGGCUCACUGGCCCGAUACUGACGCUGAGACACGAAAGCCAGGGGAGCAAACGGG
rnacentral:rRNA from 1 species